CAACAACCACUCAACCUACCACCACUGAGUCAACAACCACUCAACCUACCACCACUGAGUCAACAACCGCAGAGUCUACCACCACCGCCCCCACUACAUUGGCGCCCGAUAUCUGUUCGUCGGAUGCUACCCUGAUUAAAGUCAGUUCAGGCACGGUGGCAGAGUACUAUGUCAGAGUGAAUCCCUGCACAGCUUUGUGUAGCAAUAAAUAUUCUACUGGCUUUUGGUCCACUGCACAGACCUACAGAGGUUGCUGUGGUAACAACAUAUGCUAUUGCACUUUAACCACCGAUCUUUACUCGAGUAGUUGCACCCUGAUUAACUGAUGAGAUAUGGAGAAGAAAAAUUGAAUGAAGU